rnacentral:rRNA from 1 species
UACGUAGGGCGCAAGCGUUAUCCGGAAUUAUUGGGCGUAAAGAGCUCGUAGGCGGCUUGUUGCGUCGACCGUGAAAACCCGGGGCUCAACUUCGGGCUUGCGGUCGAUACGGGCGGGCUAGAGUUCGGUAGGGGAGACUGGAAUUCCUGGUGUAGCGGUGAAAUGCGCAGAUAUCAGGAGGAACACCGGUGGCGAAGGCGGGUCUCUGGGCCGAUACUGACGCUGAGGAGCGAAAGCGUGGGGAGCGAACAGG